UAAUACGUAUGUGGCAAGCGUUGUUCGGAAUCACUGGGCAUAAAGAGUUCGUAGGCGGAUUGAUUAGUUGGGUGUGAAAUCCCGGGGCUUACCCCCGGAACUGCAUUCAAAACUGUCAAUCUGGAGUCCUUCAGGGGUAAGUGGAAUUCCAUGUGUAGCGGUGAAAUGCGUAGAUAUAUGGGAGAGCGCCAAUGGCGAAGGCAGCUUACUGGGGAGUGACUGACGCUGAGGAACGAAAGUUAGGGUAUCGAACGGGAUUAGAUACCCCGGUAGUCCUAACCGUAAACGGUGUGCACUAUGUGAUGGACCUUUCUGAGGGAUCAUUGCAGUAGCUAAUGCGUUAAGUGCACCGCCUGGGUAGUACGAUCGCAAGGUUG
rnacentral:rRNA from 1 species